AUGCUUAAACAACAUCUCUUGGAUAGCAGGGUUAAGGGUGGUAGACAGGCAACACAAUGUAGCAUAUUUUCUGCAGCUGAAGCCUCCAGGAUGGCCGGAUCAGGGGCAGCUCUGAGACUGCAUGAGUUCAAGGAGUACCAGGAAAGACGGGACUCUGGCUCAUUUAAAAGACAACCCGAAGCAACACUGAGAGUGAGGUUCGCAUCAUUGGAUUACUCUCCGGGGCCUUACCGUGAACACUAUGAAGACUACCCGAGGAGUUUCGACCUCCAGACAUUCCACACCCUGGACGUUCUACGCCAGAGCACCAGCGCCUCUCAAUGUGCCACUGAGACGGCUUACCAAGAGGAGUUUGGCCUGCAGUCCCACCUCAACCCUCCGGAUAACACUAAGUUUACCCUGUACUCUCACCCUGGGCCUAUGCAACAGUUGGAGACAGGGAGUGAAGAGGAACAUUUUACAACACCAUGGCAAUCAAACUGAACUCCAUCCAUGAAAAGUAACCAAUGAAAAUGGUGCAUUGCAUGUAUUUUUGUUUGAAUGACAGGUUGUAAAAUCUUGCAUUGCAAUCAUAUAUAUGACUCUAGAAGCAUUUCAUCUCAAGUAAUGCUAAUAUAUAAUGUGUUUAUUAUAUAUACAGUACCGGUCAAAAGUUUGGACACACCUACUCAUUCAAGGGUUUCUCUUUAUUUGGACUAUUUUUGACAUGGUUGAAUAAUGGUGAAGACGUCACAACACAUGUGGAAUCACGAAGUUGCUAAAAAAAAGUGCCAAGAGUGUGCAAAGCUGUCAUCAAGGCAAAAAGUGGCCAUUUGGUCCAUAUCUACCAUUUCAAACUUUCAACUGGUACUGUAUAUUUCUAUGAAAGUCCAUUGGCACAAAAAGUGUAAUUAAAUGAAAAAAUGUCAGCAAACACGAAUCAAAUCAAAUCAGUCUUUAUUUAUUUAUAUAGCACAUUUCAGACAUGGAAGCACAGGGGGAAAAAAAAGAAGAAAUAAAUAUAAAUAAAAACAGAAAUAUUUACUAAACAACAAACAUCAGAGGAUAAAAAAAAAAGAAGAAUAACAAUAAAAAAUGAAAAGCACCCUAAGGAAAAGCAGAGCCAAAAAGAUGUGUUUUAAGAUCGCUUUUAAAUAUGUCCACAGUUUCAGCCCACUUAGGUUCUCUGGCAGGCUAUUCCAGAGUCUGGGAGCAUGGUAACUAAAGUCUGCCUCUCCAUGACUCUUGGUCCUAGGCUUUGGGAUAGUUAAAAGGCCAGUGCCAGAGGACCUGAAGGACAUACUGAGUACAUAACUGUCAUGUCUGGCAUGUUUUGGGGUGUACAAUCGUGGAUUGAUUUCAAAACCAAAAGAAAAAUCUUAAAAUUAAUUAUAAAAACUCACAGGCAG
rnacentral:lncRNA from 13 species